CAUAAUUAGACCUUUACUUAUUUAUUUUUAUUCCAAAGUGUUACCUUGAAAGUUAGUAUUGGCUUUAUUUUCCAAUACUUAUUGUGUGUAUGUUUUGCAUUUAUUUAUUUGCAGAUGUGGUUUUGGUCUUCUAAUGUAUGGAUUUGGAUCAAAGAAAUCAUUGAUUGAAGAUUUUGCUUCAACCACUUUGGUAGAGCAUUCUGUUGUUGUAAUUAAUGGUUACCUUCAAUCAAUCAAUAUAAAACAGGAUUGCUUGUACUCCAUCUCUCAAGAGCAGUUCCUCUUAAGCAGCCAGGUAACGCUAAACGCCCACUUGACUGAGUUCAAAGAUCAUGAGCUAGUUAAGAUUUGAAACUAAAGACAAAGCAAGGAGACUUCUAAGUAAUGUGUCAUUUUUGUUGAAACCAGGGGGUUAUUUUUUCGGUAUUACUCUUGAAAAAGUGAUUGCCAAAAACUGUUGUUUCUGGAUUUCUGUAUUUUCCUUUUUUUUUCUUGUGGUUACUGCUGCACCUGUUUCUGGGAGGUAUUGUGCAAACAUUUUAGUGUGCUUUAGUUAUUGUAAGAAUAUUUUUAACAUUGUUAAUUUUAA